GUGUGUUUUACGGGUAAAAAGAAAGCCAUAUUCUCUUAAAUUCGUGUAUUACUUAUCUAGUACAUACAUGUAUAUUCGAAAGGCCUUGUUAUUUAAUUACAGGAUGUUGCAAUUUUGAAUCAAUGUUAUUUAGAAUUUAAUACCUCUGACCAGGUGUGAUCUUAUUUAUGAGUUUGCCCCCAAGCAGAUGUUAUACUUUAUAUUUCAACACUAAUCAGAAAAACAAUUUUAUUUAUUUAUUUAAUUUUAUUCCUUUU
rnacentral:lncRNA from 1 species